UCUUCUAGUUCAUUUUCCACACGGCUUUUCUCACUUUCUGCGUUACGGCAUUUCGUUUCCGUAAGCUGAAGUUUCUCUUCAAGGUUAUGAAACUUUACUAACUCCUCGUCAAAACUUUUUUUUGCUGAGAGUUUUGCUUCCAGCUCUCUAAUCCUUUCUGACAAUGCUUCGUUUCUAUGUACCUCAGUAGCAUAUUUAUCAUCAAGAGCCGCCUGUCU